GCGCCUGUAGUGUAAUGGAUAUCACGUGAGAUUCCGGUUCUUGAGAUGGGGGUUCGAUUCCCUCCAGGCGCAUCA
rnacentral:tRNA from 1 species